GAUGAACGCUGGCGGCGUGCCUAAUACAUGCCAGUCGAGCGAACGGACGAGAAGCUUGCUUUUCUGAUGUUAGCGGCGGACGGGUGAGUAACACGUGGAUAACCUACCUAUAAGACUGGGAUAACUUCGGGAAACCGGAGCUAAUACCGGAUAAUAUUUUGAACCGCAUGGUUCAAAAGUGAAAGACGGUCUUGCUGUCACUUAUAGAUGGAUCCGCGCUGCAUUAGCUAGUUGGUAAGGUAACGGCUUACCAAGGCAACGAUGCAUAGCCGACCUGAGAGGGUGAUCGGACAGACUGGAACUGAGACACGGUCCAGACUCCUACGGGAGGCAGCAGUAGGGAAUCUUCCGCAAUGGGCGAAAGCCUGACGGAGCAACGCCGCGUGAGUGAUGAAGGUCUUCGGAUCGUAAAACUCUGUUAUUAGGGAAGAACAUAUGUGUAAGUAACUGUGCACAUCUUGACGGUACCUAAUCAGAAAGCCACGGCUAACUACGUG
rnacentral:rRNA from 1 species